AACCAAAGGUUACAAAGAGUUCUUAAACUCUAGUCAUCAACAAUGAGGAGCUUAAAAACACAAGGGAAAAAAACUCUAAGACAAAGAAAAUAAUUAGAAGACUAAGCUUUAUUCUUCUUCUUCGUCCAUACUCCGACCUUGCGUUGUCUUUAUACAUCGCCAAUCCAUCACAUCUUUCGUCUGCUUAGAAACUUGAUGCCGG
rnacentral:lncRNA from 1 species